AGUGAAAUUUCUAGGUCAUAUUGUAACUCUAUUUUUAACAUUUUGAGAUAAGGCUAUAAUGUUUUCCAAACUGGCUGCAUAAUUUUAUAUCCUAUUAGCAAU
rnacentral:pre_miRNA from 1 species